rnacentral:lncRNA from 1 species
UUCAUAUUUUACUAACAAUAAGAGUUAUUUCUAAGAUAAUUUUAGCACUGAUAUGUUGCUAAUUAUUUUAUAUUUUCUGUCUAAUAAUUUUGUUUGUAGGUUCCGAAGAUGAAGCUAUUGAAGAUAGAACUCCAGAAGAAAGUGAGGAUGAACAGGUGUCUGAGAAUUACGCAGCAAAAACUGCGUAUGAAGCAUCAGCGACUCCAGCAGAUAGUGAAGCAGAGUCUAAUGCAGAACUGACAGAUGAUGAAGUUGAUGACAGUCCUGAUCGAUGGAAAAGUGAGUAAUUUGAAUAUCAUUUAAUGGUAGUUAGGAAAUUUUGUUGGACUCAAUCAUUUUUUCGUCCCAGAUCAUUCUAUUGAAGUCAAAUUUUGUACUUUUAUCAGUUUAAAUCGAAAGUCUCGAGUUUCAAUCAAUAAAUGAUAUUCACUCCUUGAUUUUUCUCAAUUUUUAAGGUGGUACAUGAUUGACAAACAAUGAACCACUAGACUAGGUGAAAAUUUAAGCACUCUGAUUUAUAUCCAUUUUUCAAAAUUUUACUUGAAAUUCGAUUUGCACAACAAAAAUUACUGAAAUUAACUUCCAACGAAGAUAAUUUAACAUUGGUUAUGAAAUAUCUGAACUCUCUGCUCACAUGAAAAAACUGAGUUAACUUUAAUAAUUUUUUAGAUGAAGAAGCUGAUGCCCAGACUGGAACUGAAGAAGAAGAGGAAGAAGAGGAGGAAGAAGACGAAGAAGAAGAAACAGAGGAAGAAGAGAGCCCACCUCCAUCCCCACCAAAACCAAAAAUCCAGCCUGAGCAAAAUCCACGCCGAAGGGGAGGUCCUCGAUCAGCUGACGACAUUGAUUUUGAGCAGGAAUAUUAUGAAUAUACAGACAUCACAAAUGACUAUGACUGGGCUAUUCGAAAUGAAUUGGAUUUUGCAGAGGAUGAAUUCUUGA